rnacentral:rRNA from 1 species
UACGAAGGGGGCUAGCGUUGCUCGGAAUCACUGGGCGUAAAGGGUGCGUAGGCGGGUCUUUAAGUCAGGGGUGAAAUCCUGGAGCUCAACUCCAGAACUGCCUUUGAUACUGAGGAUCUUGAGUUCGGGAGAGGUGAGUGGAACUGCGAGUGUAGAGGUGAAAUUCGUAGAUAUUAGGAGGAACACCAGUGGCGAAGGCGGCUCACUGGCCGGUACUGACGCUGAGACGGCGAAAGC